ACACAUAUACAUAUAUUAUUGAGAAUUCACGUUUAAUGAAUGAAAAUUUUUCACACGAAAUGACUGCCGAAGGACUCAAAUCUAUACUAUUUGGCUUAGCAUAAACCUUUAUCAUUGACCACCAAGUAAUCACCCCUAUUGUUUUUUCUUUUUAAGAUUAAAAAAGAAAUCCAGGAGGGAUAAGUGGAUAACAAUAGCUGAGGUAGAAUUUCUAUAUCAACUCCUUUCGUUUGUGCAGGCAGAUACUUGACUCUUUAUGUAAAAGUAGUCACCAACUUAGUGCUGCUUUCUUACGCUGGAGUCAGGCUAGAAUGCCUCCAUGUGAAUGAGUUUCUUGCUCGAGUCCUUCCUGAAUUUUUGUCGGGUGCGAAGCAUCCAUCCUGAGCUAUCAAGACCUAUUGUGCACCCUUGAUCAUAUCUUCUAAGGUCCUAAAAGGAAAAAAAAACACACACUGGAAUCCUAAUCCAAUCA
rnacentral:lncRNA from 1 species